rnacentral:rRNA from 1 species
CGCUACCUGUUGACUACUCACAGAACUAUCACGUGAUGGUUGAGUCCGGACGUAUCCGGCCUUGCCCGUAGGGUGUGCGCCUGGGUUGCCCGCGGCUUUCUUCUCGGUAGCCUUCCGCGCUUCGCUGCGUGCGUUGGUGUUCCGGAACUUUUACUUUGAGAAAAAUAGAGUGUUUCAAGCAGGCUUGUCGCCCUGAAUACUGCAGCAUGGAAUAAUAAGAUAGGACCUUGGUUCUAUUUUGUUGGUUUCUAGGACCGAGGUAAUGAUUAAUAGGGACAGUUGGGGGCAUUCGUAUUUAACUGUCAGAGGUGAAAUUCUUAGAUUUGUUAAAGACGAACUACUGCGAAAGCAUUUGCCAAGGAUGUUU